rnacentral:rRNA from 1 species
UUAGUCCUGGCUCAGGAUGAACGCUAGCGGCAGGCCUAAUACAUGCAAGUCGAGGGGUAUGGGUUGCUUGCAACCCAGAGACCGGCGCACGGGUGCGUAACGCGUAUGCAAUCUACCUUAAUCAGGGGAUAGCCCGGAGAAAUCCGGAUUAACACCGCAUAAUAUUAUUUAGUGGCAUCACUGAAUAAUCAAAUAUUUAUAGGAUUAAGAUGAGCAUGCGUGACAUUAGUUAGUUGGUGAGGUAACGGCUCACCAAGACCACGAUGUCUAGGGGAUCUGAGAGGAUGACCCCCCACACUGGUACUGAGACACGGACCAGACUCCUACGAGAGGCAGCAGUAAGGAAUAUUGGUCAAUGGGCGCAAGCCUGAACCAGCCAUGCCGCGUGCAGGAAGACGGCCCUAUGGGUUGUAAACUGCUUUUGUACCGGAAUAAACCUUCUCUUGCGAGAGGAGCUGAACGUACGGUAAGAAUAAGGAUCGGCUAACUCCGUG